AACGAACGCUGGCGGCGUGGAUAAGACAUGCAAGUCGAACGGAAUUACUUUUGUAGCAAUACAGAAGUAAUUCAGUGGCGAACGGGUGCGUAACACGUGGGCAAUCUGCCGAGAAGUGGGGGAUAGCUCGCCGAAAGGCGAAUUAAUACCGCAUGUGGUGAGGGAAGACAUCUUCCUGAAUCCAAAGCCGGGGUAACCUGGCGCUUUUUGAGGAGCCCGCGGCCUAUCAGCUUGGGUGAGGUAACGGCUCACCAAGGCUUUGACGGGUAGCUGGUCUGAGAGGACGACCAGUCACACCGGAACUGAGACACGGUCCAGACACCUACGGGUGCAGCAGUCGAGAAUUUUUCUCAAUGGGGGAAACCCUGAAGGAGCGACGCCGCGUGGAGGAUGAA
rnacentral:rRNA from 1 species